AUUGAACGCUGGCGGCAUGCCUUACACAUGCAAGUCGAACGGCAGCACGGGAGCAAUCCUGGUGGCGAGUGGCGAACGGGUGAGUAAUAUAUCGGAACGUGCCCAGUCGUGGGGGAUAACGUAGCGAAAGCUACGCUAAUACCGCAUACGAUCUACGGAUGAAAGCGGGGGAUCGCAAGACCUCGCGCGAUUGGAGCGGCCGAUAUCAGAUUAGCUAGUUGGUGAGGGAAAGGCUCACCAAGGCGACGAUCUCUAGCUGGUCUGAGAGGACGACCAGCCACACUGGAACUGAGAGACGGUCCAGACUCCUACGGGAGGCAGCAGUGGGGAAUGUUGGACAAUGGGCGCAAGCCUGAUCCAGCAAUGCCGCGUGCAGGAUGAAGGCCUUCGGGUUGUAAACUGCUUUUGUACGGAACGAAACGGUGAGCUCUAAUACAGUUUGCUAAUGACGGUACCGUAAGAAUAAGCACCGGCUAACUACUUGCCAGCCGCCGCGGUAA
rnacentral:rRNA from 1 species